rnacentral:rRNA from 1 species
AGGGUUUGAUUAUGGCUCAGGACGAACGCUGGCGGCGUGCCUAACACAUGCAAGUCGAGCGAGAAUUUCACGACGGAAUCCUUCGGGAUGAAGAUGUGAAAGGAAAGCGGCGGACGGGUGAGUAACGCGUGAGUAACCUGCCUAUCAGAGGGGGACAACAUUUCGAAAGGAAUGCUAAUACCGCAUAAAAUAACAGUACCGCAUGAUACAGUUAUCAAAGAUUUAUCGCUGAUAGAUGGACUCGCGUCUGAUUAGAUAGUUGGUGAGGUAACGGCUCACCAAGUCGACGAUCAGUAGCCGAACUGAGAGGUUGAUCGGCCACAUUGGGACUGAGACACGGCCCAG